rnacentral:rRNA from 1 species
GAUGAACGCUGGCGGCGUGCCUAAUACAUGCAAGUCGAGCGAACAGACGAGGAGCUUGCUCCUCUGACGUUAGCGGCGGACGGGUGAGUAACACGUGGAUAACCUACCUAUAAGACUGGGAUAACUUCGGGAAACCGGAGCUAAUACCGGAUAACAUGUUGAACCGCGUGGUUCAACAGUGAAAGACGGUCUUGCUGUCACUUAUAGAUGGAUCCGCGCCGCAUUAGCUAGUUGGUAAGGUAACGGCUUACCAAGGCAACGAUGCGUAGCCGACCUGAGAGGGUGAUCGGCCACACUGGAACUGAGACACGGUCCAGACUCCUACGGGAGGCAGCAGUAGGGAAUCUUCCGCAAUGGGCGAAAGCCUGACGGAGCAACGCCGCGUGAGUGAUGAAGGUCUUCGGAUCGUAAAACUCUGUUAUUAGGGAAGAACAAGUGUGUAAGUAACUAUGCACGUCUUGACGGUACCUAAUCAGAAAGCCACGGCUAACUACGUG